UACGAGGGGGGCGAGCGUUGUUCGGAAUUAUUGGGCGUAAAGGGUGCGUAGGCGGCCUGACAAGUCUGAUGUGAAAUCCCUGGGCUCAACCCAGGGCCUGCAUCGGAAACUGUCGGGCUUGAGUAUGGGAGAGGUGAGUGGAAUUUCCGGUGUAGCGGUGAAAUGCGUAGAUAUCGGAAGGAACACCUGUGGCGAAAGCGGCUCACUGGACCAUUACUGACGCUGAGGCGCGAAAGCCAGGGGAGCAAACGGG
rnacentral:rRNA from 1 species